AGGGAAUAUUGCGCAAUGGAGGGAACUCUGACGCAGCGACGCCGCGUGAGCGAUGAAGGUCUUCGGAUCGUAAAGCUCUGUCCUUGGGGAAGAAGGGAGCCGUAAGGCUUCUUGACGGUACCCAUGGAGGAAGCCCCGGCUAACUACGUGCCAGCAGCCGCGGUAAUACGUAGGGGGCAAGCGUUGUCCGGAAUUAUUGGGCGUAAAGGGUGCGUAGGCGGCCCUUUAAGUCAGAUGUGAAAGCCCACGGCUUAACCGUGGGACUGCAUUUGAAACUGGAGGGCUUGAGUGUCGGAGAGGGCAGUGGAAUUCCCAGUGUAGCGGUGGAAUGCGUAGAUAUUGGGAGGAACACCAGUGGCGAAGGCGACUGCCUGGACGAUAACUGACGCUGAGGCACGAAAGCUAGGGGAGCAAAC
rnacentral:rRNA from 1 species